rnacentral:tRNA from 2 species
GGGCCUGUAGCUCAGGUGGUUAGAGCGCUUCUCUGAUAAGGAAGAGGUCCCUGGUUCGAGUCCAGGCAGGCCCACCC